GCAAACUUGGUCAUUUAGAGGAAGUAAAAGUCGUAACAAGGUUUCCGUAGGUGAACCUGCGGAAGGAUCAUUAACGAGUUAGGGUCUCUCAGGCCCGACCUCCCAACCCUUUGUCUACUCUUGAUCACGUUGCUUUGGCGGGCCCGUCCUUCACCGGACCGCCGGAGGACCUGUCCAUGGUCUUCUGGCCCGCGCCCGCCGACAGCCCAACUUGAAAUUCUUUUUGUAAAGCACCUUUGUCUAAGACUCAGAUUUCUUUAAUGAAAAACCAAAAAACUUUCAACAACGGAUCUCUUGGUUCUGGCAUCGAUGAAGAACGCAGC
rnacentral:misc_RNA from 1 species